GCCUGAACAUUUUGUAUUUGACUUGUAGCCAUAAACAGACAUCCAGUAUCCACAGACCUAGAUACUGCAUUGUGAAGAGCCAAUGUCAAGGUCCAGCACUCUGAAAGUUUACAAUUAUAUGAAAUACCUGAAACGAGGGUAAUUAACCAGACACACCUGAACCAAAUGAACACAAUCAAACAAGGAAGAAACUGGGUCACAGGGAGGGAGCACAUGGGGAGAAAUGCUCCGUUCAGCGGUCAGUUCGUGUCAGCAGCGGGUUGUAAUACCUAGAAGCCAACAGUCUUUACUCGUGUGUCUGUCUACAUCAGCUGGAUUAAUGACAUCAUUGGAUAAAAAAAAAUAGGAAAAAAAAAAAGCUGAGAAGAUGAAAGACAAACAUCUUCCAUUUACCCACUUUUAACAUCAGUAAUGGGCAGAAAAUAUGUUAAAUAACUGACUGCUUUUGAGUCAUUUAAUCUAGUUUGAUCAAAAAUUAAAAUCAGUGGAGCACUUAAUUAUUGAGAGGGAACUAAAUUGUUCAUAUUUUAGUCAUAUUAACAAAUGACAUUUCACAGGCAAAAAAAGUCCAUUGUCAAUUUGUCCUCUGCGUGCUGCCAACACAGCACUGAACCACCAAGGCAUGGAUGUUUCAAGACCGCUGAAUGUGUCCUGUGGUAUCUGGCACAAAGAUGUUACCAGCAGAUCCUUCAAGUCCUGUAGGUUUUAAGGUGGAGUGGCCAUGGAUUGAACCUGUUGGUCCAGCACAUCCAACUGGAAGAAUGUAUAGUCUGCCCCGACCCAGAUUCCACUCUGCAAUAUAUGUUCGAUCAUGCUCAUUUCCCAAAAUGGCUUAAUUAUAGAGAACAAAGUCAACAGUUAUGUUGUUUCUAGACCGUUUGGGAUGAUCACAUCCUGAGCAAAUGGUGACCAACUGUAGAAUGGAAGCGGGUGUGGGACACCAUGAACCAUCUCAGACAAAGGGGUGUCAGAACUUAAU